UGGAGAAGAACCCGUGUCCCCACCUGGGAAGAGUCAAGGCCUGCAGGGCUGCAGUCUUCCUCAGGAUCAUGAUGACUAACAUUUUUUGAGCGAUUCCUAUGCACUAGACACUUGCUUUAUGGUGGGAGGUGGAGGCUGCAGUGAGCCGAGAUCUUGCCACUGCACUCCAGCCUGGGCAACAGAGUGAGACUUUGUCUCAAGGAAAAAAAGUGACAAUUACUGAGUGCUUACUAUAGGUCUUCUUUUGUAUUGAUUUCUCGACUCCAUCUGGCUGGAUAAUUACUGUCAUAUUAAAUAAAUAAACUUUUUAUUUUGGAAUAAUUCCAGAUGUACAAAAAAGUUGCAAAGAUAGAAAGCUCCUGUAUACCCCUCAGCCAAUUUCCUCAAAUGUUAUCAUCUUACUUGUGAUUCAUUUGUUAAAACCAACACUGGUACAAUGAAUAUUAUUUUUAAACCCUAUUUUACAGAUGAGCAGUUUGA
rnacentral:lncRNA from 10 species